rnacentral:misc_RNA from 1 species
AAUUCUCAACCUUCAACCGGUUUGCGCUGGUUUUGAAGGCUUGGAUGUGAGGGCUUUGCUGGCUUCCUUUAGUGGCGGUCUGCUCCCUUUAAAUGCAUUAGUGGGUUUCAGUUUUGUGAAACGCUUCACUUUGGUGUGAUAAUUGUCAUCGCCGUUUUUGAAUGCGAAGUAGCAAGCAAUCUAAUGAAACUUGCUUAUAACCGUCCGCAAGGACAAUUACUUUGACC